GGCCAAUUGCUAGUGUUCUGAUUGAUAAGUAUUUAUGUUUUGAAUAUGUAUGGACACAUAGAUAGGGCUUAUAUCAGUCAUUCAACAGCAUUAAAUAUAUUCAAAAUUCUGAUGACGUGAUGAGAUCAACUUAUGUAAGUGAUUACAGCUGUUGAACUUUGCUCCAUGUUAUGGUAUUUGCUGUGUUGUUUACAAGAAAAGGGGUUAUGAGUACCAUAAGAGCUGCACAGACCGUUAAAUGUUAAACGCUAAAAUUUAUAGUUUCUUCUGUAAUGUGUGGUGUUUUUUAGCCGGUACUGACAAGAAGGUUAGACACUUCUUCAAGAUCAGAAGACAACCUGGCACUGGACUUGUCUCAGGACAAACCUCGGCCUGAUGUGAGUAUUUGCAUGUUGAAUAUCAUUAACAAAUGAGAGCAUCAUAUGCCUUAACAUUAAAUCCUUCAAUUCGGUGGUUUUACAAUAUUAGUUUAUUUUGAGCCUUCUCAUAAUGUUUUUGAAUGAUUUUUUUCUUGUUUUCACACACACGCACGCACGCACGCACGCACACACACGCACACACUCACACACACACACACACUCACACACACACACACGGUUGUGACAUUUAUUUAAACUGCCCACAUAAAAUCUCUGAGUGAAAACCAUAAUUUAUCAUCAUUGUCCAAUGUCAGAGAGUGUUCAAGAAUAGCCUUAUGUUGCUAAAUAAGAGAUCACUUUGCAUCACGAAGUUUUCCCUCCAAAAACACCCAGACAAACUUGUCUUAUUUCACUUUUAUUUAUCAUCCAGCCACCAAAUAUACGUAAGUGACUUUGACGUGUACACACUCACUGCAGUCUGUCCCAUUGAAGAGCAUGGACAGUGCAGGCUGCGCUUGGAACUGUUGAGGGGUACAUGAACCACGUGACCGCUCCGGCGGCAAGAUCUGAAGUUGUCGCCACUCUGUUUAAUCCACUGCUCUGGAUAGGCCUAUUGGGAUUAAUAUCUUGAACCUACACUGAUUUGUGUUUUCUGUUGGAGAAUGUACAAAAUAAUCUCUUAACACCAAACAACAAUGAUAAGUGAACAUUGAAUGUUUUAAAAAGUAACUGUAAUUUAUUUCGAUUUUACUGUAAUUUAUACAAUAUUCAUAUAUUUUGCCAAUGGAACAGGGAGCCACUGGAGAGAGGCAGAAGAGCCGCAAGUGGCAGGCCACUGACCAACACAUUGCCUGUUUGCUCCAAGGCCAUUAAGGUCCAACUCAAUGCAGCCUCAGCGACAGUGAGGAAACUGGAGUGGGAGAAGGACAAUGCGCUGCGAAGAGAAAGGAGGGCCAAGAAAAACAUGCAGACUCUUUUGG